UACGGAGGGUGCGAGCGUUGUCCGGAUUUACUGGGCGUAAAGAGCGCGCAGGCGGUCGAUUUAGUCGCGUGUGAAAGCCCCCGGCUCAACUGGGGAGGGUCACGCGAUACUGAUCGACUCGAAGGCAGGAGAGGGUAGUGGAAUUCCCGGUGUAGUGGUGAAAUGCGUAGAUAUCGGGAGGAACACCAGUGGCGAAGGCGACUACCUGGCCUGUUCUUGACGCUGAGGCGCGAAAGCUAGGGGAGCAAACGGG
rnacentral:rRNA from 1 species